CUGUUGGAGUGUAAAAUAUCUUGGGGCUUGGUAUAUCUGGUAUCAUGGAAAUGAAGACGAACGGAACAUUUACUGGGAAGAAAUAUAUUCUGUGCUUUAUAUUCCAUUCGAAACCUGAGCGGGACAAACCAAGCUAGGCGGCUCAAUAAUAAUUUCAGACUAAACCGUGAGCAUAAACGAUGAGAUGAAAGAGUCUCAACAAAGAGAGGAGGGGACUUUGGAAUUCUUAAGUGAUUGGUCAGCGCAAGGUGGGAAAACGGAUCGCUCCAGUUCUCUUUGUCGGAGCUUUCAUAUACUGCCUGUAUGGACCCUCGAAAUUGAGGUAAUAACCUUAUGUAGCCUCAUGACGUAACAUACUGUGACUGACGGAUGAAACAUAUAGCAAAGAUUCCACCGCAAAGACUCUCGGGAACAACCCAUGAUCAAAGCCCUGACGACGUCUCUUCAGUACCUGACAAACACCUUGGACUGACUUGACAUCUAGAACGACUGACAUACACACGGACUGUUAUGUCUGGUUGGUUAAUGCACAGUCAACGAGACGCUGAAACACUGUGAAAACGCAGAUACGUAUAACACUUCUUACUUAUUCCGACGCGAACUAAGACGCCCGCGGGAAAUUGCCUGAGGAAAAGGACUGGAGGGAGUGGGAGUUGUGUUUGUAAAUCUAAAACAUUUGGUCUAAAAUUUCCAAAUUAUUUAAUUUUUUUCUGAAACUUUGCAUCUUUGGUCUAAACAACGCAAUUAUUGCUGUCAUUUUAAUUUUCAUCACACUUCGUAAAAAAAAGUUUUGAUUUGGGAAGACUUUAAGUGUCGUAGAGAGGUAGAUGGCUUUAUGACAUAAUCUAAGUGUCGAAAAGCCUUUGAGCAAUUCUAUCACCAAGGCAAAAUUCUUUAGCCACAAAAUUCAUUUUCUUCAGCAUCAAGAAGCAGCUAUGAUAUCGAAACUGAUACGGCUACCACAUUCAUCAAAAUUAUUCAAACUUUUAAAAGCAUCUAAAUUUUUGAGGUCAGGGAAAAGAGUAUGAUCACAUCACCACUGCAGCUGAUGUUCACAACAUUUGAUAUAGAGGAUAUUACAUGGCCGCUU